GGCUGGUCCGAUGGUAGUGGGUUAUCAGAACUUAUUAACACUAGUGUUACCAAAGUUGGUAUCCAACCCCCCACUGCUAAAUUUGACUGGCUUUAA
rnacentral:Y_RNA from 1 species